UGAAUCCAUAGGUUAAUGAGGCGAACCGGGGGAACUGAAACAUCUAAGUACCCCGAGGAAAAGAAAUCAACCGAGAUUCCCCCAGUAGCGGCGAGCGAACGGGGAGGAGCCCAGAGCCUGAAUCAGUGUGUGUGUUAGUGGAAGCGUCUGGAAAGGCGUGCGAUACAGGGUGACAGCCCCGUACACAAAAAUGCACAUGCUGUGAGCUCGAUGAGUAGGGCGGGACACGUGGUA
rnacentral:rRNA from 1 species